rnacentral:misc_RNA from 1 species
GUGGUCUAAAAUUGCAUCCCAUUUUCCGGGCAGAACAGAUAAUGAGAUCAAGAACGUCUGGAACACUCACUUGAAGAAAAGAUUGGCAUUUAAAGUCCCACAUUCAAGCGGGGGCGAAUUAAAGGAAUCAUCCUCUAUCUCCUCUUCUUCGUCCAGCACAAUCAUGUCAGGUGGGAAAAGAAAUAUGGCAAUAGAACUUGAUGAUCAAUGGAAACAUGUCUCCGUGACCAAGAGGACUCGUGUUUUGGAAGAUAUACAGGAUUUGCAUAUGGAAGUAACUCGAGAUGAAUUUAGAACAACUAAUAAGGAAGCCCAAGAAUUGCCAAGUUCCUCUUCUUCUUCCUCUUCCGAUAAUUCCAAUGUCACAAACUAUAGUCAAGUUGAUGUUUCUUUGCCAGAUGAUCAAAUGGGUUCGCUUGUCAACUUUUCAGGAGCUUACGUUCGUAAUACAUUAGAGGAGGUGAGCAAACCAGAGAUCCAAGACAUUGCAGCAGUUGAGAUUCCUUCCGAGUCAGAUUUAGAUUUUUGGAACAUGUUAGAUGGAUUAUAUUCGUUGCAAACUAAUGAGGAAGUCCAAUUACAUAAUGUUGAGACAAACAAAAACUCAAGUCUUGGAGUUGAAUAUAAUGGGGAAGUCGAAAAUAGGAAGUGGCUGCGUUACUUGGAAAAUGAACUUGGCCUG